UACGUAGGGGGCGAGCGUUGUCCGGAUUUAUUGGGCGUAAAGAGCGUGUGGGCGGCUUGGUAGGUCUUGCGUCAAAACCUGCGGCUCAACUGCAGUUCGCGUGGGAAACCACCUAGCUAGAGUCCGGAAGAGGAGAACGGAAUUCCCAGUGUAGCGGUGAAAUGCGCAGAUAUUGGGAAGAACACCAGUGGCGAAGGCGGUUCUCUGGGACGGUACUGACGCUGAGACGCGAAAGCGUGGGGAGCGAACAGG
rnacentral:rRNA from 1 species